UGGUUAGAACAUUUUGCUUCUGUAACUUGCAACAAUGACUCAUGUAAUUGUGAGAUCAGGAUAAAUUGUACAGACGCCCGAGUGGUUUAGUUUGGCAGUUUACGCAGAAAUAAGUCGUUUGACCUAAUUUAGCAUAGCUCAAUAGACAAAUUACAUUUUAACUUUUUAUCUCAGGUAGUUCCUGCUCGAAUAGCUAGCGGACAAUAACAUUGCUUAGAUUUUCUGAGUUUUCAUGCAUUACUAUGGUGAGUACUCACAUGGAAAAAGAAAAAGAUUUGCCCCAGAGUAAAUCAGCAUAACAUCAUCUCUAGUAAGACUGAAUCUUUAUUAACCCUUUAAGGACGGAGGCAAUUGUCCAAGUUCUGAACCAAAAC